rnacentral:misc_RNA from 1 species
UUUCCGUAGGUGAACCUGCGGAAGGAUCAUUACUGAGUGAGGGCCCCUCGGGGUCCAACCUCCCACCCGUGUUUAACGAACCUUGUUGCUUCGGCGGGCCCGCCUCACGGCCGCCGGGGGGCAUCUGCCCCCGGGCCCGCGCCCGCCGAAGCCACCUGUGAACGCUGUCUGAAGUAUGCAGUCUGAGACAAUUAUUAAAUUAAUUAAAACUUUCAACAACGGAUCUCUUGGUUCCGGCACGAUGAAGAACGCAGC